rnacentral:rRNA from 1 species
GUUUGAUCAUGGCUCAGAACGAACGCUGGCGGCAGGCCUAACACAUGCAAGUCGAGCGAACCCUUCGGGGUUAGCGGCGGACGGGUUAGUAACGCGUGGGAAUAUACCCUUUGGUACGGAAUAGCCUCGGGAAACUGAGAGUAAUACCGUAUGUGCCCUUCGGGGAAAGAUUUAUCGCCAAAGGAUUAGCCCGCGUUGGAUUAGGUAGUUGGUGGGGUAAUGGCCUACCAAGCCUACGAUCCAUAGCUGGUUUGAGAGGAUGAUCAGCAACACUGGGACUGAGACACGGCCCAGACUCCUACGGGAGGCAGCAGUGGGGAAUCUUAGACAAUGGGCGCAAGCCUGAUCUAGCCAUGCCGCGUGGACGAUGAAGGCCUUAGGGUUGUAAAGUCCUUUCAGAUGGGAAGAUAAUGACGGUACCAUCAGAAGAAGCCCCCGGCUAACUCCGUG